CAGUCACCGCGGGAAAACGGAGGGUGCAAGCGUUAAUCGGAAUUACUGGGCGUAAAGCGCACGCAGGCGGGUUGUUAAGUCAGAUGUGAAAUCCCCGAGCUUAACUUGGGAACUGCAUUUGAAGCUGGCAAGCUAGAGUCUUGUAGAGGGGGGUAGAAUUCCAGGUGUAGCGGUGAAAUGUGUAGAGAUCUGGAGGAAUACCGGUGGCGAAGGCGGCCCCCUGGACAAAGACUGACGCUCAGGUGCGAAAGCGUGGGGAGCAAACAGGAUUAGAUACCCGCGUAGUCCCUGUCUCUUAUAC
rnacentral:rRNA from 1 species